CUUUAUUAAGUCGGCGACGAGAUACUAACAAAGCAUUAUAGAUGAGAAUUUGAUAUAGAUCAUAUCUCGCCUGGCUUAUAGGCCCGUAAGUCGCAUGGCUUUUAUGCAAUUACGGUGUAACUUUUUGAUUAUCCUAAUAAAAAUAAAUUUUAAAAAUUAUAAAUAGAGUUGAAUUUUUUCCUGGCUCCUCCUGCUGCACGGUUAAUUAAUAUGGAGUAAUCAACAAAUAAAGUAACAUCACUAUGUCAAUUAAUUUAAUGUCAACAACCAAUAUUUAGCCUUGUUAUUACAU
rnacentral:misc_RNA from 1 species